GGGGGGGGGGGGGGGUCUUUAUGUUGAGUAUUCCAUUGCCUGUUUAUAACUUUAUGAUAGGCUGGAGAUGCUAGGAAAACUUGUUUCUGCUGUGCUCCGGAGGCUGUAGUCAAUUACCUCAUGCCCCAAAUAUCCCAAAGCCUGUGGGCCACUGUUACCUUAAAAAGUAUUAAUUUUGAAUUCUUGAUAUUGGCCUGUACGUCUAGUGUCACACUGCAUAUUUUCACAAAUUAGGUCCAUAGCUUUCUGGCACAGUGGAUAAUCUUAAAAUACUCCUGCAAUGGUGUUCUUGGAUUUCCAGAAUACAUCAUGCAUUCCUCAUAUGAAAUUUUUGGCUCAAAAGAGCUUUGUAAAGUUCUCCAAAGUUGAGCUUAGGCCAAACCUAUAUUCUUAUCCUUUGCUAGAGCUACUGAUGGUCCGAGUUUGUGAGGACCAUUCUUGACUCUUUAAAACUGGAUGCUCUAGUCUGUGAUGGAGAAUUGGUAAAGGUUGUGUUAUAACACCCCUUAGAGCAAAUAAUGAUAUUAGUUUUGCACAAGGAUAAUAUUUUCAGGGUACUUGUAGCCAUCCUUUUAAGUAGCAGAAAAAUUUCCUGAGGCCUGAUAAAAAUGUAUUUCCAUGAAAAUCCCGUGAUUGUGAUAUGCCCUAUUUAUGAUUUCAAUCAAUUGUUGGAGUGCAAAUUUAUUAGAAAAAUGCUCUAGUUGUUCAUGGCCAGUGCUCCAUUCAAGCAUGCGGUAGAAAACAAGAAAUUUGGAUUAGCUUGGGCUUUAGUUCUUUCAAAUAUUUUCCUGGUUUUUACAUAUUCUAGAUGUUUUGAGUUAAUCAUUUUUCUUUUCUUUUUGGUUUUGUGGAAAGGGGUUACUGUAUGGUGUCUAAUGGUUACGUAAGACGCUAUUCUGGAUUUGCAGGAUAGGUUACUAAAAAGAGUAGUUAUAUACUUAUAAUACUAAAUUUUUUAUUACAUAUUAUCACAUAGACCUUGGACCUUGCAAAUUGAUGUGAUAAUUUUAGAACACAUACAAAAAGAGUAAUCCAUAGUGUUACUAUUGCGACUGGACUCGUCAUAGUUUGAGUUUUAUCUAUUAAAAUUUGCUAUUGAGUAUUGAUUAAUAAAUAAAAAUAACAAAUAACAAAAAAAAAGAAAAG